GGGAUUCAAUGGUUCUACCUGCUCGAGACAAAGAUUGACUAUCCGCUAUUUUUCCAAAGUCAAAUUUCAGAGUCAUAGGAAGAGGAAAAAAUUAUCAACGUUACUCACGUCCAUGCGUUCGAAUAAUUUUUUUGGAUGGAGGGACUUGUUAGCUAUUGCAUCUUCACCAUACAUAAUUUGCAAAUCAUGGCGAACAUCCAUUCUAUCGUCUUACAUUUAAGUUCAUAGUAUGGGCGGC
rnacentral:lncRNA from 1 species